rnacentral:lncRNA from 1 species
UUAUCAUCACAGAAGCCAUGACAAGAAGGGGCUGCUGGCCACACAGGAUCAUCUUCUCCCUCAUACUUUUGACUUGGACACAUGUUACUUUAGCAGGCACCGAGGACAUCCAACUAAAGCAGCUCUCAGACCAGUCAGUCUUCUGAAAGCCAAGCACUUAUCAGAUCACAUACCUUUUCUAACUGGCCUAAGCCCCCAUGCAAAAUGUAUUACCCAAUAGACCCUGAUUAUGAAGCAAACUGUCCAGAUGUGAUAGCGCUGGUUUGUGCUACCAAUGGCUUGAACUACAAGAACGAGUGCUUCUUUUGCAUUGAUCGGUGGGAGUUUGGACCUCACAUCGAGUUUGUCAAAUAUGGAAAAUGUGAAUAGCGAUUAACCGAACACCUUCAUUUGUUUAUUCUUCAUUCUGGGAUUUAUUUCUUUGGGAGUUUGAGGUGUUUAAUUUACC